rnacentral:lncRNA from 1 species
UCUGGAGUAAACAAACAGUUUGCUUCUGUAGAGAUGCAUUUCUGCACUGCUCUUCUCCUCUUCCUACUCUCUGGACUGCACUGACAGAUCUAAUCAGGUAUUUAAUUGUGUUCUUUCAAAAGUGAACAGAAAGGGUAUUCAACAAUCAGUGAAGACAAUUUCAAAGGAAAAUACUUACUUUCUCCUGAAGAAAAUGAUUGUCUCUCUUUGGGACUCUGUUAUUAAGAAUAAAUGGCUGUAAAUGUGGAUUGCAGAUGAUUUACGUUAUAUCCUGGGAUUCUGGGGAUGAGUCAUAUUACUGUACCAGACAAUGGACAAAUAAAAAAAUCUGCUUCUGUUAUUAGGAGAAAAAAAAUAUAUAGUGGAAUAAAAGCAUUCUUCGGUACACUGAUAAAAGCAAAUGCAUAUUCAAAAGAAUUGUAGAAAUGUGUGUUUAUAUCACUAAAACGCAAAAAGCUUUCAUGUCUAGGACUUUCAUAUUUAUGUAGCAACUAUAUAAUGUAUGUAUCCAUUAUGUUUCCAUUUUACAUAUAUUUAUAUGUACUUCAAAAUGUAUAUUUUGAAAAAAUAAGUCCUAACAUAUCGUCUGGAAUAUCCGCUAUCUCUGGAUCUCUUCUGGACAGAAAGAAGGCAAACCCUAGAAAUCCACUCGCUUUGGAUCUGGCUUCUGACAGUCCUUGAUGAAUAACAGGGGAAAUGGAUUUUAUAGCAUUCCAGACCAUGCACAAAGCAUGAGGAAGACAGCAUAUGUAAUGGAUGCUGUAGGAGCUGGAGAAAGAAGCUACAGCAGUGGCGGUCCUGCUGCCCACAUCUGUGGCUCUUCUGUGCCACAGGGCUGUGGAGGCUCAGCCAUGAUCUGCAUUUGGAAACUUUCAGCUCUUGGCUUUGCUCCAUCCUCUGCCCUCUGACUUCCCAGAAAGCAGAAAGCUUCCCAGAAAACAGAAAGCUCCUGCACAGGACGAGGGACUAUUACGAGUGCCUCCUGUCCUGAGGAAUUUGGCAAGAAAAUUAAUAGUAUUGCAACCUGUUUUCAAAAGAAGCCAUUUUCCAUGUGAAGGAAGAACCUCUAACCAAGCACAAAACCAAUACUAUUCCAACUGGGUUCCACUACAGCAGCAAGGGAGGGUAUCAAAAUUUUCUCUUUCCUCACUUUUCCAUUGUUAUCUAUG